UUAAGCAUAUCAAUAAGCGGAGGAAAAGAAACCAACAGGGAUUGCCUCAGUAACGGCGAGUGAAGCGGCAUCAGCUCAAAUUUGAAAUCSGGUCUUUCAGAUCUGAAUUGUAAUUUGUAGAGGAAUUAUCAUAGGUCCAACCCUGUCAAGUCGUACCUGGAAUGGGGCAUCAUAGAGGGUGAGAAUCCCGUAUGAACAGGACUUGGGCCUUCCAAUGUAUAAUCCUUCGACGAGUCGAGUUGUUUGGGAAUGCAGCUCUAAAUGGGAGGUAAAUUUCUUCUAAAGCUAAAUAUUGGCCAGAGACCGAUAGCGAACAAGUAGAGUGAUCGAAAGAUGAAAAGCACUUUGGAAAGAGAGUUAAACAGUAUGUGAAAUUGUUAGAAGGGAAGCGCUUGCAAUCCAAGGAGCAUAUCUGUUGGGGGACUUACUGGACCUUUUAGUAGGGAACUACACCUUUACUGGUGUGUAGGUUUGUUUCUUGAACAGUAUCGUGCCGGUCAACGCCAGUUGGGAUCAUUGGGAUAAGCAUCAUGUGAAAGUAGCUCGUAGCCUUUGGUUGCGAGUGCCUUAUAGCUGUUGAUUGUAUUACCAAUUAGACCUGACUGAUGACAGUAUUUAUUUACGGUCGAAAUUUGAUAGAAAGGGUUGUAAGCGGCCCGUCUUGAAACACGGACCAAGGAGUCUAACAUCUAUGCGAGUGUUUGGGUGUCAAGCCCGCACGCGUAAUGAAAGUGAAUGGAGGUGGGAACCUUGUGAUGAGGUGCACCAUCGACCGAUCCUGAUGUCUUCGGAUGGAUUUGAGUAAGAGCAUAGCUGUUGGGACCCGAAAGAUGGUGAACUAUGCCUGUGUAGGCUGAAGUCAGAGGAAACUCUGAUGGAAGGUCGCAGCGGUUCUGACGUGCAAAUCGAUCGUCAAACAUGGGUAUAGGGGCGAAAGACUAAUCGAACCAUCUAGUAGSUGGUUCACSCCGAAGUUUCCCUCAGGAYAGCAGUGAUGAAGUUCAGUUUUAUGAGGUAAAGCGAAUGAUUAGAGGCCUUGGGGUUGAAACAACCUUAACCUAUUCUCAAACUUUAAAUAUGUAAGAAACCCUUGUUACUUAAUUGAACAAGGAACUGGAAUGACCAUCACUAGUGGSCCAUUUUUGGUAAGCAGAACKGGCGAUGCGGGAUGAACCGAACGCGGGGUUAAGGUGCCGGAGUACACGCUCAUCAGACACCACAAAAGGUGUUAGUUCAUUAAGACAGCAGGACGGUGGCCAUGGAAGUUGGAAUCCGCUAAGGAGUGUGUAACAACUCACCUGCCGAAUGAACUAGCCCUGAAAAUGGAUGGCGCUUAAGCGUGUCACCCAUACCCCGCCGUUAGAGUAGUAAAUGAUGCUUUAACGAGUAGGCGUGCGUGGAGGUUUGUGACGAAGCUUAUGGAGUGAUC
rnacentral:rRNA from 1 species